rnacentral:lncRNA from 1 species
GCAAAAACAGUCUUAUCAUAAGUGCUAGAGAUGACCUUAGGUGAAAAAGUGACAGGUCUACCUUCAUCACUUCAUUAAUAUGUGAGAUAAAACAAACCAUAUGGUAAACAAGAGGCAGAGGAUUAGAAUUCUCUAGUAUAUACUGACGAAUCAACAUAAAUCAGUCAAACCUUUUGUUUUGCAUGAGACACCAAGUACAAACAUGUAUCAGGUAGUCAAAGAGCUAAAAGAAUAAGUUCUUGGUAAAUGAAUAGUUUCAACAAAAUGGGCAAAUACAAGAUGUUUAAAUUUCAUGUUUUUAGGGCCAAACUAUAGGGGAUUUUCAUAUAGCAUAACUUUUACUUCGUUCAGAGAGACUUUAAAAUCCUUUGGCUAAGAGUUUCAACAAACACACCAUAACUAUGAAAUUUUGCAGAAAAUAUUUUCUCAAGUUUAUAAGCAUCAAGCAGAAUAUGAGUACCCAACAUCAUAGAUUUCAAAUUGUCUAUAUCAUUCACAAACAAGUUUGCAUAGAACAUUCUCAUAGAUUCUCCAUACAUAAUGUUUCCAAAUGUAGCAAACAGAAAUGAAGUCAUAAAUUGAGACAUCACAGUGUAUAUCCUUCAUGAGGAGACUUAAAGCGCGACCGUAUGUCAUAGAUUUUGAUUUGUACGACUCAAGAUUUGAUUUCUCCAGGAGUCCGUAGAACCUCAGCCCAAAAUCUACACAUUCAAUUUUUCCCUUCUUGCAUGCAAGCCUUUUUGGGGUCUGGUCUACAAGUCUCAUGCUGGCCCAUUUUUUGAUUAAUACUUGGUCUGCUUUGAGAGGGUCGUAUUAAGGGAUGAUUUUAGGUCAACAGUUUCUUUUGGGUUUUGGACCUUUCGAAAAUGGUGGCAACGCCGUGUGGCAGUGAAAUAGGAGAAGGUUUUAGGUUUAGCUAUAGCGGAUGAGUGUCUGAAAAGUGGUGAUGAAGAGUGAGGAGGAUGAUUUAAUAAGGUUGAUGGAGUGUGUGAAGGGUUGCCUCGAUUGAAGAAAAAGGAGAUGAAGUGAUUGUUCCAGGAGUUACUUCGACAGUUCAUAUAGCAGGUAAUUAUGACAAUCAGUCAUGCAAUUAAUAGAUACCAUCAAAAGAAUAUAAGGUGCAUAAGGCAAUAAAAUAAUUUUAAUAACAUAGUAGAAUAG